CCUGGUUGAUCCUGCCAGUAGUCAUAUGCUUGUCUCAAAGAUUAAGCCAUGCAUGUGUAAGUAUGAACUAAUUCAGACUGUGAAACUGCGAAUGGCUCAUUAAAUCAUUUAUAGUUUGUUUGAUGGUAUCUACUACUCGGAUAAUCGUAGUAAUUCUAGAGCUAAUACGUGCAACAAACCUCGACUUCUGGAAGGGAUGCAUUUAUUAGAUAAUAGGUCUAUGUGGGCUAUGCUCGUUGCUUUGAUGAUUCAUGACAAAUCGACGGAUCGCACAGCCUUUGUGUCGGUGAUGCAUCAUUCAAAUUUUUGCCCUAUCAACUUUUGAUGGUAGGAUAGUGGCCUACUAUGGUAGUGACGGGUGAUGGAGAAUUAGGGUUCGAUUUCGAAGAGGGAGCCUAAGAAACGGCUACCACAUCCAAGGAAGGCAGUAGGCGCGCAAAUUACCCAAUCCUGACUUAGGGAGGUAGUGACAAUAAAUAACAAUACUGGGCUCUAUGAGUCUGGUAAUUGGAAUGAGUACAAUCUAAAUCCCUUAACGAGGAUCCAUUGGACGGCAAGUCUGGUGCCAGCAGCCAUGGUAAUUCCAGCUUCAAUAGCGUAUAUUUAAGUUGUUGCAGUUAAAAAGCUCGUAGUUGGAACUAGGCUUGGGUCAUCUGGUUUGCCUCAUGAUGAGCACCGAUCUACUCAUCCCUACUGCCGGUGAUGUGUUCCUGGACUUAAUUGCUCGAGUCGUUCCUCCGACGCUAUUACUUUGAAGAAAUUAGAGUGCUCAAAACAGGCCUACGCUUGCAUAUAUUAGCAUGGGAUAACAUCAUAAAAUUUUCGUCCUAUUGUGUUGGCCUUCAGGAUCGGAGUAAUGAUUAACAGGGACAGUCGGAGGCAUUCGUAUUUCAUAGUCAGAAGUGAAAUUCUUGGAUUUAUGAAAGACAAACAACUGCGAAAGCAUUUGCGAAGGAUGUUUUCAUUAAUCAAGAACGAAAGUUGAGGGCUCGAAGAUGAUUAGAUACCAUCUUAUUCUCAACCAUAAACGAUGCCGACCAGGGAUCGGUGGAUGUUACUUUUAGGACUCCGCCGGCACUUUAUGAGAAAUCAAAGUCUUUGGGUUCCGGGGGGAGUAUGGUCGCAAGGCUGAAACUAAAAAGAAUUGAUGGAAGGGUGCCACCAAGAGUGGAGCUUGCGGCUUAAUUUGAGUCAACAUGGGGAAACUUACCAGGACCAGACAUAGUAAGGAUUGACAGACUAAGAGCUCUUUCUUGAUUCUAUGGGUGGUGGUGGAUGGCCGUUCUUAGUUGGUGGAGCGAUUUGUCUAGUUAAUUUCGUUAACGAACGAGACCUCAGCCUGCUAACUAGCUACGCGAAGGAGAUCCUUCAUGGCUAGCUUCUUAGAGGGACUAUGGCCAUUUAAGCCAAAGAAGUUUGAGGCAAUAAUAGGUUUGUGAUGCCCUUAGAUGUUCUGGGCCGCACGCGCGCUACACUGAUGUAUUCAACGAGUCUAUAACCUUGGUUGACAAGCCCGGGUAAUCUUUGAAAUUUCAUCGUGAUGGGGAUAGAUCAUUGCAAUUGUUGGUCUUCAACGAGGAAUUCCUAGUAAGCGCGAGUCAUCAUCUCGUGUUGAAUAUAUCCCUGCCCUUUAUACACACCGCCCGUCGCUCCUACCGAUUGAAUGGUCCGGUGAAGUGUUUGAUCACGACGACGUGGACGGUUCGUCGCCUGUGACAUCACGAGAAGUCCACUAAACCUUAUCAUUUAGAUGAAGGAGAAGUCGUAACAAGGUUUCCGUAGGUGAACCUGCGGAAG
rnacentral:rRNA from 1 species